CACGUAGGGACCAAGCGUUGUCCGGAUUCAUUGGGCGUAAAGAGCUCGUAGGCGGCUCAGUAAGUCGGGUGUGAAACCUCCAGGCUCAACCUGGAGACGCCACCCGAUACUGCUGUGGCUAGAGUCCAGUAGGGGAGCGUGGAAUUCCUGGUGUAGCGGUGAAAUGCGUAGAUAUCUGGAGGAACACCGGUGGCGAAGGCGGCAUCCUGGACCGGUAUUGACGCUGAGGCGCGAAAGCUAGGGGAGCAAACGGG
rnacentral:rRNA from 1 species